rnacentral:lncRNA from 1 species
UCCAUGACUAGCCAGCAGUGGAAUGCUUUUUGCAAAUCUAUACAUGACUUAACAAGUGUUUCCAUUAUGAAGUGCUACAUAAAUAGGUGAGACAAGAAAUUGCCUUCAUUAGGAGCAUGUCAUGUGACAUGAUAGCCAAUUAGUAGACCUCAGAUGGAGCAUGAACUUAAAAUUCCAAACAAUCAAUGAAUACGUACGAAUGAGCGGUAGUGUAAUACAAGCAUAUAUAUACAUACCUCUAUUAAUUUUACUUGGUAUUGAUUAGUACAGUUCUAAUCUUUGCUAUGAAACUAGUAAACCCCAUCAGCCAGUACAUAUUAAUGGUUUUGCAUGAACUAAAAAAUUUUGAUGAUGUGCCCCUUGGGCUGAAUUCCAAGCUUGUGAUAAAAGGAUGCUACAAUUAAUCACUGUUUUUAUUUCAAACACAACUUUACUUACAAAUAUCAAUAAAGGAAAAGGAAAAAUGAUUUAAUUAAUAUGAUCGGUUCAGUAAGCAAAGCCUGUAUGAGCAAAGCCAUUUACCUUAUCACGCUUCUUUUUAACACUUGUCUCAGCAGAUUCAUCUUCAAGAACUAAUGUGCCCAUAACCCGUUCAUCUAAAUCUUCCAAUUCUCUCUGAACUUGAUCACCUUCUCUCCUCAUCGGAUCGCCUCUAACCUCACCAUGCAGUUCCAACAAAGACUCUUCAAACUCUGGUGCAGUAACUGAAUGCAGAUUACUUCCUGCAGGCGAACCAGGGCUAUAAAGCUGGCCAAUAAGCGUUCUUUCACCAGACAUUCUGCCACUCAUUGCUCUUCCUUUCUCCUCAGUAACUGAAUUGACAUUCCUAUGAUUCAAUUCACCAAAUUUACCCUUUCCCUUACUCCUAUUCCGCGCAAAACUACCACUUUUAUUCCCCAAAGUUCUAGGGUUGCUAUAAAACCCUGGUGGCGGGCACCUCACAGAUGUUUCCACCCACCUGUUACUACCACCACCACCAUGAUCCCCAAAUGCAUGCGCAUUUAGUUCCUUAUUUCGAUUUAAUUCAAGAGAUAUUUGAAACUCGUUUUCCAAACCAUUCUGAAUUCUGUUCCCUAAACCCCCUCCUCUAUCAUCACUUCGUAAUUGAUUAUCAUUUGAAUUUGAUACACCGACAUUGUUGUGGAUAUCAAAAGGCAAUGAGCCAAACAUCAAAUUGGUCCGUACCUGCUGAUGAGCUGAGUUUAAUUUGGGAUUCGUACCAAAAGAGCCUACCUUUUUAACAUCGUCUCCACCAAAUAAGUUACUCUGAUUGAGUUGAUAAUUCUGCUGGUAGGUCUGAUCAAAUCCAGGUCGUGGUGGCGAUGCAGAGGACAAAUUAGGGUUAGGGUUUUGGAGGAAAAAAUUAUGAGGAGCAAAAUGGGUAGGAGACUGAGACCAAGGGGAUCGAUGGGAGAGAUGCUCGUGACCAUUAGGAACAUUGGAUUGGUACAAUGGCGGCGCGAAGGAGAUGCUGGGUCCCACGAUGGCAACGGCGGGAUCGUGAGGCAGAUUUUGAGCUGGUGGUUGUUGUGCUUGCUGACGGGGUUGUUGCGGCGGAUUUCGCAGCAACUGGAGGAUAAAUUCGCCGCUAUUCACCGACGAUGACGGCGGCUGAGCUUCGCCUCCACCGCCUGACAUUGUGAGGGAGGUUUUACAAAGAUUUGAAGUAAUGGGACAAGGCGACUAAUGUAUGGAAUUUAUAUAUAUAUAUAUAUAUAUAUANNNNNNNNNNNNNNNNNNNNNNNNNNNNNNNNNNNNNNNNNNNNNNNNNNNNNNNNNNNNNNNNNNNNNNNNNNNNNNNNNNNNNNNNNNNNNNNNNNNNGUGGGAUGCUUUUUGCAAAUCUAUACAUGACUUAACAAGUGUUUCCAUUAUGAAGUGCUACAUAAAUAGGUGAGACAAGAAAUUGCCUUCAUUAGGAGCAUGUCAUGUGACAUGAUAGCCAAUUAGUAGACCUCAGAUGGAGCAUGAACUUAAAAUUCCAAACAAUCAAUGAAUACGUACGAAUGAGCGGUAGUGUAAUACAAGCAUAUAUAUACAUACCUCUAUUAAUUUUACUUGGUAUUGAUUAGUACAGUUCUAAUCUUUGCUAUGAAACUAGUAAACCCCAUCAGCCAGUACAUAUUAAUGGUUUUGCAUGAACUAAAAAAUUUUGAUGAUGUGCCCCUUGGGCUGAAUUCCAAGCUUGUGAUAAAAGGAUGCUACAAUUAAUCACUGUUUUUAUUUCAAACACAACUUUACUUACAAAUAUCAAUAAAGGAAAAGGAAAAAUGAUUUAAUUAAUAUGAUCGGUUCAGUAAGCAAAGCCUGUAUGAGCAAAGCCAUUUACCUUAUCACGCUUCUUUUUAACACUUGUCUCAGCAGAUUCAUCUUCAAGAACUAAUGUGCCCAUAACCCGUUCAUCUAAAUCUUCCAAUUCUCUCUGAACUUGAUCACCUUCUCUCCUCAUCGGAUCGCCUCUAACCUCACCAUGCAGUUCCAACAAAGACUCUUCAAACUCUGGUGCAGUAACUGAAUGCAGAUUACUUCCUGCAGGCGAACCAGGGCUAUAAAGCUGGCCAAUAAGCGUUCUUUCACCAGACAUUCUGCCACUCAUUGCUCUUCCUUUCUCCUCAGUAACUGAAUUGACAUUCCUAUGAUUCAAUUCACCAAAUUUACCCUUUCCCUUACUCCUAUUCCGCGCAAAACUACCACUUUUAUUCCCCAAAGUUCUAGGGUUGCUAUAAAACCCUGGUGGCGGGCACCUCACAGAUGUUUCCACCCACCUGUUACUACCACCACCACCAUGAUCCCCAAAUGCAUGCGCAUUUAGUUCCUUAUUUCGAUUUAAUUCAAGAGAUAUUUGAAACUCGUUUUCCAAACCAUUCUGAAUUCUGUUCCCUAAACCCCCUCCUCUAUCAUCACUUCGUAAUUGAUUAUCAUUUGAAUUUGAUACACCGACAUUGUUGUGGAUAUCAAAAGGCAAUGAGCCAAACAUCAAAUUGGUCCGUACCUGCUGAUGAGCUGAGUUUAAUUUGGGAUUCGUACCAAAAGAGCCUACCUUUUUAACAUCGUCUCCACCAAAUAAGUUACUCUGAUUGAGUUGAUAAUUCUGCUGGUAGGUCUGAUCAAAUCCAGGUCGUGGUGGCGAUGCAGAGGACAAAUUAGGGUUAGGGUUUUGGAGGAAAAAAUUAUGAGGAGCAAAAUGGGUAGGAGACUGAGACCAAGGGGAUCGAUGGGAGAGAUGCUCGUGACCA